UGGAAACUCAUCAAAAUCUCUCUCUCUUAUUACUCUUUGUGCCCUAUUUGUUGGCAUGCAGUGUUGCUCAACUUGAUCGUGGUAUUAGUCGGUCAGAUUUUCCACUUGACUUCAUAUUCGGAGCAUCAUCAGCUGCUUAUCAGUAUGAAGGAGCGGCGGAUAUUGGUGGAAGAAAACCCAGUAUAUGGGAUACCUUCACUGAGAAUUAUCCAGAAAAAAUAGCUGACAGAAGCUCUGGAAAAGUUGCAGAAGAAUUCUAUU